rnacentral:rRNA from 1 species
UACGGAGGGGGCUAGCGUUGUUCGGAAUUACUGGGCGUAAAGCGCACGUAGGCGGCUUUGUAAGUUAGAGGUGAAAGCCCGGGGCUCAACUCCGGAAUUGCCUUUAAGACUGCAUCGCUAGAAUUGUGGAGAGGUAAGUGGAAUUCCGAGUGUAGAGGUGAAAUUCGUAGAUAUUCGGAAGAACACCAGUGGCGAAGGCAGCUCGCUGGGACGUGACUGACGCUGAGACGGCGAAAAGCGUGGGGAGACAAACAGG